rnacentral:rRNA from 1 species
UACAGAGGUCUCGAGCGUUGUUCGGAUUCAUUGGGCGUAAAGGGUGCGUAGGCGGCGUGGCAAGUCUGAUGUGAAAUCCCGGGGCUCAACCCCGGAACUGCAUUGGAUACUGCCAUGCUAGAGUACUGGAGAGGAGAUUGGAAUUUACGGUGUAGCAGUGAAAUGCGUAGAUAUCGUAAGGAAGACCAGUGGCGAAGGCGAAUCUCUGGACAGUUACUGACGCUGAGGCACGAAGGCCAGGGGAGCGAACGGG